rnacentral:pre_miRNA from 1 species
AUCUCUAUGUGUUGUUCAGCACCAAGGACAGGUCUGUUUACCUCUGUGUGGAUGGUGUUCAGUGCAAAGGAUGGGUCUAUUUGUCU